rnacentral:misc_RNA from 1 species
AAGUCGUAACAAGGUUUCCGUAGGUGAACCUGCGGAAGGAUCAUUAUCAUCGGGCUUCGGCCCCCUGAAGAUAGCACCCUUUGUUCAUGAGUACCCAUUGUUUCCUCGGUGGGCCUGCCCGCCGGUGGACACCCAAAAAACCUUUGCAGUAGUAGUAUCUUCAGUAAUAAACAAAUAUUAAAA